AUGAGUAAUCACAAUCCGAGCAUCCUAAACUGGAAUGUGCGAGGACUGAAUUGCCCCAACCGUCGUGCAACCAUUAGAGAAACAAUUGCUGCCACACCCUGUCACAUUAUUUGCAUCCAAGAAUCGAAGAUGGCUGAUAUUGAUCAAUUUGUGGUGUCUUCACUGGGUGGUCUGCUUCACGGGAGCUUCGCCCAUCGUCCUGCUUCUGGUACUGGAGGGAUCCUAAUCCUGUGGGAUGAUGAUGUUGUCAAGCUUGCCAACAUUCAUUUUGGCCAAUUCACUUUGUCUGCCGAUGUUCAGCUUGCUAAUUCGUACGUUAUGUUCAAGCUAACUACAGUUUACGGCCCAACUAGGAGCAACCUCAAGGAUAUUUUCUUUCAGGAGCUCAUUAGCGAGAAGCCUAACGCUGGGUGUAUGUGGCUGGUUCUUGGGGGCUUCAAUCAAAUUUAUCAUGCCAGAGAUAAAAACCGCGCGAAUGCUAAUCGUAGCCGCAUCGUUCGCUUUCGCAACACCCUCAAUGCUUGCGAACUUAAGGAGAUCCAUCUACAAAACAGAAAGUUCACUUGGAGCAAUGAGCAGAGCGACCCAACUUUGAGUAAACUUGAUUCUUUCUUCUGCAAUGAGGAAUGGGACGUUGAGUUUGGGCAUUACAUUCUCCAUGCUCUUGCUUCAUCCCUCUCUGAUCACUGCCCGCUACUCCUUGCCAAUGACAAAGGGCCUCGUAGAACUAAAUCCUUCCGCUUCAAGAACUUUUGGAUCAACAUGCCAGGCUUCAUGGCCACUGUCCAGCAAGCAUGGAAUGAAGAGACAACCCAUGUCGAACCGUAUCAACUCCUCUUCCACAAGCUCAAGAAAACUAGCCAAAGGCUUCGUGCUUGGAGUAAAACCCUUUUCUCUCAUGCCAAGGUGCAACUCCAUAUGGCCUUGGAGAUUAUCCUACGUUUGGAUAUUGCCCAAGAAAAUAGAACUCUCAGCCAGGAUGAGAGAGAGCUUAGAAAGAGGCUUAAAAGGAAGGUAGUGAGUUUGGCCGUGCUUGAGAAGGCUCGCAAAAGGCAAAGUUCUAGGAUUACCAAUCUCAAA
rnacentral:rRNA from 1 species